GAUGAAGAACGCAGUGAAAUGCGAUAAGUAAUGUGAAUUGCAGAAUUCAGUGAAUCAUCGAAUCUUUGAACGCAUCUUGCGCUCCUUGGUAUUCUGAGGAGCAUGCCUGUUUGAGUGUCAUUAAAUUCUCAACUACACUGACUUUGAAUUGGUGUGGCUUGGAUUUGGGGGGAAAAUUGUUGUGGGCUUUUUGUAUAGUCUGCUCCCCUGAAAUUGAUUAGCGGUACCUUUGUGGAACUGUCUACAGGUGUGAUAAUUAUCUACAUCUGCUGGAAUGCUGCUUUCUAAACCUUACUUGUAUUGACAAUCUUGACCUCAAAUCAGGAAGGACUACCCGCUGAACUUAAGCAUAUCAAUAAGCGGAGGA
rnacentral:misc_RNA from 1 species